rnacentral:rRNA from 1 species
GACGAACGCUGGCGGCGUGCUUAACACAUGCAAGUCGAACGGAAAGGCCCUGCUUUUGUGGGGUGCUCGAGUGGCGAACGGGUGAGUAACACGUGAGUAACCUGCCCUUGACUUUGGGAUAACUUCAGGAAACUGGGGCUAAUACCGGAUAGGAGCUCCUGCUGCAUGGUGGGGGUUGGAAAGUUUCGGCGGUUGGGGAUGGACUCGCGGCUUAUCAGCUUGUUGGUGGGGUAGUGGCUUACCAAGGCUUUGACGGGUAGCCGGCCUGAAAGGGUGACCGGCCACAUUGGGACUGAGAUACGGCCCAGACUCCUACGGGAGGCAGCAGUGGGGAAUAUUGCACAAUGGGCGGAAGCCUGAUGCAGCAACGCCGCGUGCGGGAUGACGGCCUUCGGGUUGUAAACCGCUUUCGCCUGUGACGAAGCGUGAGUGACGGUAAUGAGUAAAGAAGCACCGGCUAACUACGUG